GUGCCAGCCGCCGCGGUAAUACGUAGGUGGCGAGCGUUGUCCGGAAUUACUGGGUGUAAAGGGCGCGUAGGCGGGGAUGUAAGUCAGGUGUGAAAUACCGGGGCUCAACCCCGGGGGUGCAUCUGAAACUAUGUCUCUUGAGUGCUGGAGAGGAAAGCGGAAUUCCUAGUGUAGCGGUGAAAUGCGUAGAGAUUAGGAGGAACACCAGUGGCGAAGGCGGCUUUCUGGACAGUAACUGACGCUGAGGCGCGAAAGCGUGGGGAGCAAACAGGAUUAGAUACCCUGGUAGUCCACGCCGUAAACGAUGGAUACUAGGUGUAGGGGGUGAUUAACCCUCUGUGCCGGAGUUAACACAAUAAGUAUCCCACCUGGGGAGUACGGCCGCAAGGUUGAAACUCAAAUAAAUUGACGG
rnacentral:rRNA from 1 species